GACGAACGCUGGCGGCGUGCUUAACACAUGCAAGUCGAACGGAAAGGCCCUGCUUUUGUGGGGUGCUCGAGUGGCGAACGGGUGAGUAACACGUGAGUAACCUGCCCUUGACUUUGGGAAACUUCAGGAAACUGGGGCUAAUACCGGAUAGGAGCUCCUGCUGCAUGGUGGGGGUUGGAAAGUUUCGGCGGUUGGGGAUGGACUCGCGGCUUAUCAGCUUGUUGGUGGGGUAGUGGCUUACCAAGGCUUUGACGGGUAGCCGGCCUGAGAGGGUGACCGGCCACAUUGGGACUGAGAUACGGCCCAGACUCCUACGGGAGGCAGCAGUGGGGAAUAUUGCACAAUGGGCGGAAGCCUGAUGCAGCAACGCCGCGUGCGGGAUGACGGCCUUCGGGUUGUAAACCGCUUUCGCCUGUGACGAAGCGUGAGUGACGGUAAUGGGUAAAGAAGCACCGGCUAACUACGUG
rnacentral:rRNA from 1 species